CCUACGGGUGGCAGCAGUGGGGAAUAUUGGGCAAUGGGCGCAAGCCUGACCCAGCAACGCCGCGUGAAGGAAGAAGGCUUUCGGGUUGUAAACUUCUUUUCUCAGGGACGAAGCAAGUGACGGUACCUGAGGAAUAAGCCACGGCUAACUACGUGCCAGCAGCCGCGGUAAUACGUAGGUGGCAAGCGUUAUCCGGAUUUGCUGGGUGUAAAGGGCGUGUAGGCGGGACUACAAGGCAGAUGGGAAAAUCACGGGCUCAACCUGUGGCCUGCAUGUGAAACUGUAGUUCUUGAGUACUGGAGAGGCAGACGGAAUGCCUAGUGUAGCGGUGAAAUGCGUAGAUAUUAGGAGGAACACCAGUGGCGAAGGCGGUCUGCUGGACAGCAACUGACGCUGAGGCGCGAAAGCGUGGGGAGCAAACAGGAUUAGAUACCCUUGUAGUC
rnacentral:rRNA from 1 species